AACCCAUGGUGAGGGCAUCGUCUCAAGAGAUCCUUGUAUCUCUCUCAUGAAUCGUAGAGUGUCUCUAAAUCCAUCGACACAAAAGAAGAGAUAUCAUUACGUAACUU
rnacentral:snoRNA from 1 species